rnacentral:rRNA from 1 species
UUAAGCGACUAAGCGUACACGGUGGAUGCCCUGGCAGUCAGAGGCGAUGAAGGACGUGCUAAUCUGCGAAAAGCGUCGGUAAGGUGAUAUGAACCGUUACAACCGGCGAUGUCCGAAUGGGGAAACCCAGUGCAAUUCGUUGCACUAUCGUUAACUGAAUACAUAGGUUAACGAGGCGAACCGGGGGAACUGAAACAUCUAAGUACCCCGAGGAAAAGAAAUCAACCGAGAUUCCCCCAGUAGCGGCGAGCGAACGGGGAGCAGCCCAGAGUCUGAAUCAGCUUGUGUGUUAGUGGAACGGUCUGGAAAGUCCGACGGUACAGGGUGAUAGUCCCGUACACCAAAAUGCACAGGCUGUGAACUCGAAGAGUAGGGCGGGACACGUGGUAUCCUGUCUGAAUAUGGGGGGACCAUCCUCCAAGGCUAAAUACUCCUGACUGACCGAUAGUGAACCAGUACCGUGAGGGAAAGGCGAAAAGAACCCCGGCGAGGGGAGUGAAAAAGAACCUGAAACCGUGUACGUACAAGCAGUGGGAGCACCUUCGGGUGUGACUGCGUACCUUUUGUAUAAUGGGUCAGCGACUUAUAUUCUGUAGCAAGGUUAACCGUAUAGGGGAGCCGCAGGGAAACCGAGUCUUAACUGGGCGUUAAGUUGCAGGGUAUAGACCCGAAACCCGGUGAUCUAGCCAUGGGCAGGUUGAAGGUUGGGUAACACUAACUGGAGGACCGAACCGACUAAUGUUGAAAAAUUAGCGGAUGACUUGUGGCUGGGGGUGAAAGGCCAAUCAAACCGGGAGAUAGCUGGUUCUCCCCGAAAGCUAUUUAGGUAGCGCCUCGUGAACUCAUCUUCGGGGGUAGAGCACUGUUUCGGCUAGGGGGUCAUCCCGACUUACCAACCCGAUGCAAACUACGAAUACCGAAGAAUGUUAUCACGGGAGACACACGGCGGGUGCUAACGUCCGUCGUGAAGAGGGAAACAACCCAGACCGCCAGCUAAGGUCCCAAAGUCAUGGUUAAGUGGGAAACGAUGUGGGAAGGCACAGACAGCCAGGAUGUUGGCUUAGAAGCAGCCAUCAUUUAAAGAAAGCGUAAUAGCUCACUGGUCGAGUCGGCCUGCGCGGAAGAUGUAACGGGGCUAAACCAUGCACCGAAGCUGCGGCAGCGACACUAUGUGUUGUUGGGUAGGGGAGCGUUCUGUAAGCCUGCGAAGGUGUGCUGUGAGGCAUGCUGGAGGUAUCAGAAGUGCGAAUGCUGACAUAAGUAACGAUAAAGCGGGUGAAAAGCCCGCUCGCCGGAAGACCAAGGGUUCCUGUCCAACGUUAAUCGGGGCAGGGUGAGUCGACCCCUAAGGCGAGGCCGAAAGGCGUAGUCGAUGGGAAACAGGUUAAUAUUCCUGUACUUGGUGUUACUGCGAAGGGGGGACGGAGAAGGCUAUGUUAGCCGGGCGACGGUUGUCCCGGUUUAAGCAUGUAGGCUGNGUAGGUGGGGUAACGGCUCACCUAGGCGACGAUCCCUAGCUGGUCUGAGAGGAUGACCAGCCACACUGGAACUGAGACACGGUCCAGACUCCUACGGGAGGCAGCAGUGGGGAAUAUUGCACAAUGGGCGCAAGCCUGAUGCAGCCAUGCCGCGUGUGUGAAGAAGGCCUUCGGGUUGUAAAGCACUUUCAGCGGGGAGGAAGGCGUUAAGGUUAAUAACCUCAUCGAUUGACGUUACCCGCAGAAGAAGCACCGGCUAACUCCGUGCCAGCAGCCGCGGUAAUACGGAGGGUGCAAGCGUUAAUCGGAAUUACUGGGCGUAAAGCGCACGCAGGCGGUCUGUCAAGUCGGAUGUGAAAUCCCCGGGCUCAACCUGGGAACUGCAUUCGAAACUGGCAGGCUAGAGUCUUGUAGAGGGGGGUAGAAUUCCAGGUGUAGCGGUGAAAUGCGUAGAGAUCUGGAGGAAUACCGGUGGCGAAGGCGGCCCCCUGGACAAAGACUGACGCUCAGGUGCGAAAGCGUGGGGAGCAAACAGGAUUAGAUACCCUGGUAGUCCACGCCGUAAACGAUGUCGAUUUGGAGGUUGUGCCCUUGAGGCGUGGCUUCCGGAGCUAACGCGUUAAAUCGACCGCCUGGGGAGUACGGCCGCAAGGUUAAAACUCAAAUGAAUUGACGGGGGCCCGCACAAGCGGUGGAGCAUGUGGUUUAAUUCGAUGCAACGCGAAGAACCUUACCUGGUCUUGACAUCCACAGAACUUACCAGAGAUGCAUUGGUGCCUUCGGGAACUGUGAGACAGGUGCUGCAUGGCUGUCGUCAGCUCGUGUUGUGAAAUGUUGGGUUAAGUCCCGCAACGAGCGCAACCCUUAUCCUU